UAGCCUCAUUUCAAAUGGAGUUCUUCAAAAUAAAAUAAAAACCUUCCUCAUAACACUUGAUCGAAUACCUCAUCAAGAAGCAGAAUGGUACCAUAACCGCAGAAUUUAUUAAUUAUUUGUUCAAUAAUAGAGUGUAAUUGCACUGCAGCUCACAAACAUACAUUUUUGCAAUCUCACAGAGCUUCUCACUUUUAUUCAUAAGAUGAUUACAUCCCCAAGUGUAACAGAAUACAUUUCUAAAUGCUUUAAUUUGAGACACCACCACCUUUUGGAGGGGUGUUGGCAAACUUCCAUGACAAGUAGCUCAUGCUCUCAUAAGUUCUAUCUCCUGCUACCUCUUCGAUUGGUACAGCAGCAGCAAUUUCUUUCAGCUCUUCUUCUGUAAGUUUCACCUUCAGGGAGCCAAGGUUCUCGUCCAGGUUCUUGAUCUUAGUGGUCCCAGGAAUAGGCACAACAUCAUCCCCUUGUUGGAGAACCCAAGCUAAUGCUAGCUGAGAAGGAGAGCAUUGAUACUUCUUAGUAAGGUUUUCCAAUCGACUGUAUAUCCUUCUGUUUUUGUCCAAGUUCUCUGCUCGAAAUCUAGGAUGUCCAACCAAGCUGCUAUUUGCAGGCAAACUUUCCAUAAUUGCUUUACCAGCAAAAAAACCACGACCAAGAGGACUGUAUGGAACAAUUCCAAUACCAAGAUCCCUGCAAAGGGGAAUAAUCUCUUCCUCGAUAUCACGAGUCCAAAGAGACCACUCCAUUUGUACAGCUGUGAUGGGGUGAACAGCAUGUGCCCUCCUUAUUGUGUCUGGACUGGCUUCAGAUAGCCCAAUGUGCUUGAUUUUUCCUUCUUCCACCAGUUUUUUAAGUUCACUCAUAGUUUCCUCAAUAGGCACAGAAGUGUCAACUCGAUGCUGAUAAUACAGAUCAAUGUAAUCCACACCUAGGCGCUUCAAGCUAGCCUCACAACAUGAGCGUACAUACUCAGGGGUACCCUUAACUAUCAUAUGAGGAAAUUCCAUUUUAAAAACACCAAACUUAGUGGCUAACUGAAUUUUUUCUCUUGGUAACUGCUUCAAGGCCUUUCCCACCAAAAUUUCAUUAGUAUGGGGUCCGUAUAUAUCUGCCGUAUCAAAAAACGUGAUUCCUUUGUUGAAGGCAUCCCUCAAUAUAGAGAUUCCAUCUUCAUCUGAGACAGGAGUAUUAUAGACCCCAGUUAGGCCCAUACAUCCAAACCCCAGCUUUGAGACCUAAUUAUGAGAACAAGCGCUGAGAAAUUAAAAUCAAUCAGCACCUAUCCCUUGCACGCAUGAGAAGAAAACCCUCCAAUCAAAGUUCAACAGACAACAAAGAGCACAUAGACACCCGAUGGUUUGUCUUUACAAAGGGUAGCGUGUAUCACUUCAAUUCAAAAUGUUAGAUGUAUUAUAGACAGGGUCAUAUAUGCUUAAAGAUCAUGUCAUAAAAGUAAAGACUCAAUCUUUUGGCAAAUGUCUCUAAUGUCUGUCUGCACUCAGAGGAUGCUUUAGAAAUUUAAGGAGCUUUUUGGUCAAUUGCACUACCACCUCCACAAGUGGAUCAGAUCAACAAGUCCCAUAAAACCAAUCGGACACAGAACUGUUAUAAAUUUACAUUCUUGCAAGCUUUAUCAGAAAAUUCAGAUGGGAUUUCAAAGAAAUGUAGCUUUACCUCAAGUCCUUGGCUCCCCAGUUUCACCCUUGGAACUUGCAAGCUCAUCUCCGCUGCCAUCGUUUGGCUGGAAUAUUCUUGGGAAAAUGUUGUUCUUUUGGCUCAAAUUGUUAGACAUUAUGUAGUAGGUGAGUGAGGGAAAGUGAAUAUGUCAUGAAUGAUGUAGUAGGUGAGCGCCAGUCAGCACCCCUUCCUUUGGAUUGGGAGAAAGCGGGAGAGGGUAAAAGACUAU
rnacentral:misc_RNA from 1 species